rnacentral:rRNA from 1 species
ACCAGCUGUAGAAUACGGCUUCCCGCAAGGGACACCAGUAUAGGCGCUGCAUGGCUGUCGUCAGCUCGUGCCGUGAGGUGUCGGGUUAAGUCCCGCAACGAGCGCAACCCCUGCACACAGUUACUACUCGCAAGAGAGGACUCUGUGUGGACUGCUCCGGAUAACGGAGAGGAAGGUGGGGAUGACGUCAAGUCCGCAUGGCCUUUAUGUCCAGGGCUACACACGUGUUACAAUGCAGGGCACAAACCGUUGCCAACCCGCGAGGGGGAGCUAAUCGGAAAAAACUCUGCUCAGUUCGGAUUGCAGUCUGCAACUCGACUGCAUGAAGCCGGAAUCGCUAGUAAUGGCGUAUCAGAUCGACGCCGUGAAUACGUUCCCGGGCCUUGUACACACCGCCCGUCACAUCACGAAAGUGAGCUGUACUAGAAGUCGCCGCGCCAACCGCAAGGAGGCAAGCGCCCAAGGUAUGACUCAUGAUUGGGGUGAAGUCGUAACAAGGUAGGCGUAGAUGA